GGUAUCAUAACGUAGUGGUUUGAGUGUUGGACUGCGACUCUGAAGGCCAGGGUUCGAUUCCCAGCUUGGCCA